rnacentral:rRNA from 1 species
GUGAGGAAUAUUGGACAAUGGAUGGAAAUCUGAUCCAGCCAUGUCGCGUGCAGGAAGACGGCCCUAUGGGUUGUAAACUGCUUUUGUAUGGGAGCAAUAAGGGCUACGUGUAGCCUGAUGAGAGUACCAUACGAAUAAGGACCGGCUAACUUCGUGCCAGCAGCCGCGGUAAUACGGAGGGUCCGAGCGUUAUCCGGAUUUAUUGGGUUUAAAGGGUGCGUAGGCGGUUUUAUAAGUCAGCGGUGAAAUUUUCCGGCUCAACCGGGAUACUGCCGUUGAUACUGUAAGGCUAGGAUAUGGUUGCUGUGGGUGGAAUGUGUGGUGUAGCGGUGAAAUGCUUAGAGAUCACACAGAAUAUCGAUUGCGAAGGCAGCUCACAAAGCCAUUAUUGACGCUGAGGCACGAAAGUGUGGGGAUCAAACAGGAUUAGAUACCCCUGUAGUCC